rnacentral:rRNA from 1 species
UACAGAGGUCUCAAGCGUUGUUCGGAUUCAUUGGGCGUAAAGGGCGCGUAGGCGGGAUGGCAAGUCGGUCGUGAAAUCCUUCGGCUCAACCGAAGAACGUCGGCCGAUACUGCUGUUCUUGAGGGAUGCAGAGGAGAUUGGAAUUCCCGGUGUAGCGGUGAAAUGUGUAGAGAUCGGGAGGAACACCGGUGGCGAAGGCGGGUCUCUGGCUCGAUACUGACGCUGAGGUGCGAAAGCGUGGGGAGCGAACAGG